rfam:Schistosoma haematobium scaffold228_5, whole genome shotgun sequence.
AUCCAGCUGACGAGUAGUCCCGAAUAGGACGAAACGUGAGUCAAACUGGAU